AGACUUGUAAGCGUCCAUGUCUGUGAUCGCAUUGCUUGCUUCUCCCUCCGUCAGCUUUGUCAUGCAGGAGUGCUUCAAGAUGAUGUUGACAGUCAGUGUUUAUGAUGAUUUUGCUGAAACGUGGUUAUUUCACUGCCCAGGCCUGCCGGUCAUGAUGGAAUUUGCUUGUGAUUUCGUCUAUGUGCCUCCACCAGUCGGUCCAAAGGACAGCCAGCAAGCCAAUGUCUUCAAGCGCUCAGCGCUUCUACCUCCCGUCAGCUGGGUCCGUCCCCUCGGGGCGCCCCCUCCUCCUCCUGUCGAGGUCAAGCCGGGUCACUCGCCCCCCACCAAAGUCAGCGAGCAGCCGGACGUGGGCGAGCGGCAGGAGGCGGCGGGCUCGGGGUCCCGCUUCUAUGACAAUGUUGUCUUAGAGCUCAAAUCUCCCAAGCGGUUGACACCCGCCCGAAAGACAGCUUUGCUUCCACCCCACCUGAGACCUCCGCCUUCUCCCGGCCAGCCGUCUCCUUCUGAUAAGUUUACCGACGACGACGUAGGCCCUCGGUCAUCGUCGGACACGGACGCCGCAGCGAAUAUCCAAGAAGGCACCGGGCUCGAUGGGAAUGCGCCUGGCCAGACGGCACCCUCGGCCCCUCCUCUUCCUCCCCGUCCUUCCUUCAUGAAGAACAUGCCGGAGUAUGUGGUGCUUCUGCCCGCAUCCUCCUCCACUGAAAAGCCGCUCCUGUGCCCGCCUCCAGCCACGCCACCUCCAGCGUCCACAGACAAUGCGGGCCCUCUGCCGGGAAACCCCAACGUGAUCCUCGUCAGCUUGGGAAAGCUGCUAUCGGAGAAAGUGCAGCACACACAAGGAAAACCCACUUCCUGCUCCCAGUGUGGCUCUGUGCUGGGCUCCACCUAUGACAACCAGACCAACGGCUGUUACUUCUGUGAGCCGCCCGAGCGGAGCAGCGUCCCCAGUGGCGGUUUGCAGCACGGCCUGUUCGUGCUGAGCCCCUCGGAAAAACUCCCGAGCGCUUCUCAGCCUCUGCUUAUCUUCUGCAUCGACAUCUCGGCCUCCAUGAGCAUCACCUCUCAGGUGUCGCCGGGUGAGCAGUUUAUCCACAGAUCGCGCCUGGAGUUUGUCCAGGAAGCUGUUUUAUUAUGUGUUCACAAACUGAGCAAACAACACCCUGACACACCCGUGGGGCUCAUCACCUUCAACUAUGAGGUGACAGUACACGGAUACGGAGAUUUCCCAUCACGUGUCCUGAGCGGAGAUGACUUGAUGAACAGUGACAAUCUGAAAGUGGCUGCCACUGUUUUCCCCACUCCACCUCCGCUGUCACGCACUAAGCGCUUCCUGGAGAAGCAAGUGACAGAAUUGUCUGCCGUGGGCAUCACGGCACUGGGCCCAGCAGCUCUUGUCGCCGUCACCAUGGCCUCCAGACACCCGGGCUCCAAGGUGAUCAUCUGUACAGACGGGAAGGCCAACACGACGUUAGGGAAUUUGGAGGUGGAGGACAACGACGCACGGACCCUCCUGUCGUCCACCAUCUUCUACCAAGAACUGGGGGGAAAUGCUGCCAAUCAGGGCGUGACCGUGUCAGUGCUGUCUAUAGAGGGAACUGACUGCAGGCUGGAUGAGCUGGGACGUCUCGCUGAUCGCACAGGAGGAAAAGUGGUGAUCGCUAAUCCCAAAAUGCUACAGUCGGAGUUUGAGCAAAUUAUUGAGAACAGCACUAUCGCCACACAGUGCACCGUCACGUUGAUGCUGCCCAAAUCAAUGUGUAUGAGAGGAGAGAAAGAGGCGGGACACAAAGUAGCCAGAAAGGUGGGAAAUGUGCACCUGGAUAAAGAGAUCACCUUCCAGUUUGUGGCCAACGAGGGAGAAGUGUCGUCGCCAAUGUCCGGCAGCGCUGUGUCCGUCCAGCUGCAGCUCCGAUACAUGCAGAGGAACGGAUGGCGGAUGCUCCGAGUGUUCACCGUGACCCGAAAUGUCACUCAUGAAAGCUCGGUGGCGCUGUCCUCUCUGUCUCUGCCCAUCAUUCAGCUCAACUCCUCACAGGCCAGCGCCGCUCUGGCCGUCCGAGGCCGCUUCCUGGACGCCCGGCGGGAGAACGAGCAGCAGAUGAAGCUCAUCGAGAGAGCGAUAGAGCACAACCGCAGCGCGGAGGACAGAGAGACGUACAAGGAAUGGGUCAUCACCAUGGAGCCGAUAUACAACAACAUCUAUAACUUCACAAGGAUACUUUUCAGCGGAUACUCCCUCUUUUGCUUGUUCAUGCGAGAGUCCUUCCUGUUUGGAUACUUCCUCCUACUGUACUGACUGUUGGAAAACCUCCUGCUAUGGUACUUCCUCCUUGGGUACUACUUCCUGUUGUAAAACUUCCUUCUCGGGUCCUCCCUGUUUGGAUAAUUCCUACCAAGUCUCUGACAGACACUGGCGCAGCGCUGCUGUACACCAUGAAGCAGAGCAACAGGAAGACCAUCAUGAUAAAGAAUCAGCAGAACCUUCACUUUUCACCCCAUUGGAAGCAAUCCAAAUACUGAAAGGCGCGCACACACACAAACACACACACACACACACAGACACACACUGUGACACACACAAACUGCUGAUAAGCUGCAUUACAUUCAGUGUGUUCACUGUAUGAAUUGUUUAGAGGCUUUAAACUUUGUGUUGUUUUUUUGUUUUUUUGCACUGACACCACGCAAAUAUACAACUGCACUGUACAGUAUGUGCAGCUUGACAACAAUGAAGGCUGAAGCACAUCGGCUGCCAUUAAGAGCAGGACAGCAGCAGACUCAAGUGACAAAGGGCUCUCAAGUCCGUGAAUGGCGGCAACUCGUGGCGUGGACGCGAUACGGGAGCCACGUCACCGCGUCAGGUGUGGCGGGUGACGUCUGCUCCUGCGGCAAAUGCUUUCUCAAGAGCAGAAAGGUUGACUUAAAUGUGUAUUUUUCUCGGCCCCUUUGUAAAAUGAAAUGACAAACUUUAUGUAAAGUGUGUCAUGAGUGCACUUGUUCUUAAGACUCAUGCGUACAACAUUACAUACCAGGGAUGGGCAAAGUAUGGCUUUUUAUAAGCGUUUAACGCUUUAUUUCCAUAUUUGAGUACUACAUACUGUAGUUCUCAGUCUUGGCACGUUUUCAGCAAUCAUCUUUAAACAUCUAGAAUGUAUUUAGAAACAAAUCUCUGAAUUCACUAUAAAAGGUCUUUAAUGUGGCCCAGCAUGUAUUUACAUUAAGAGUCCUGUAAUAUUUGUUGCAAUUGGAUCAUUAACAUACAUUUCUUUUAAAUGAAUUUGAUAAUGAAUGGAAUUGUUUUUUAUUGAUUAAUUGUAAAUAACAUUACAAUUAAAUGUAUUCAAAAUGA